GAUGAACGCUGGCGGCGUGCCUAAUACAUGCAAGUCGAGCGAACAGACGAGGAGCUUGCUCCUCUGACGUUAGCGGAGGACGGGUGAGUAACACGUGGAUAACCUACCUAUAAGACGGGGAUAACUUCGGGAAACCGGCGCUAAUACCGGAUAAUAUAUUGCACCGCAUGGUUCAAUAGUGAAAGACGGUUUUGCUGUCUCUUAUAGCUGCAUCCGGGCCGCAUUAGCUAGUUGGUAAGGUAACGGCUUACCAAGGCAACGAUGCGUAACCGACCUGACAGGGUGGUAGGCCACACUGGAAGUGAGACACGGUCCAGACUCCUACGGGACGCAGCAGUAGGGAAUCUGCCGCAAUGGGCGAAAGCCUUACGGAGCAACGCCGCGUGAGUUAUGAAGGUGUUCCGAUCGGAAAACUCUGUUAUUAGUGAAGAACAAAUGUGUAAGUAACUAUGCACGUCUUGACGGUACCGAGUCAGAAAGCCACGGCUAACUACGUG
rnacentral:rRNA from 1 species